AACCUCCGCAAUGUGAGAAAUCGCGACGGGGGGAUCCCAAGUGCCAUUCUUAACGGGAUGGCUUUUCUUAAGUGUAAAAAGCUUUUGGAAUAAGAGCUGGGCAAGACCGGUGCCAGCCGCCGCGGUAACACCGGCAGCUCUAGUGGUAGCUGUUUUUAUUGGGCCUAAAGCGUUCGUAGCCGGUUUGAUAAGUCACUGGUGAAAUCCUGUAGCUUAACUGUGGGAAUUGCUGGUGAUACUGUUGAACUUGAGGUCGGGAGAGGUUAGCGGUACUCCCAGGGUAGAGGUGAAAUUCUGUAAUCCUGGGAGGACCACCUGUGGCGAAGGCGGCUAACUGGAACGAACCUGACGGUGAGGGACGAAAGCUAGGGGCGCGAACCGGAUUAGAUACCCGGGUAGUCCUAGCCGUAAACGAUGCGGACUUGGUGUUGGGAUGGGCUUUGAGCCGCUCCGGUGCCGAAGGGAAGCUGUUAAGUCCGCCGCCUGGGAGUACGGUCGCAGACUGAACUUAAGGAUU
rnacentral:rRNA from 1 species